AUCCUUUUCCGGUUCAUAAGCAUGAUGAUUGGGUGAUCACACGGUUGUGUGAGAUGUGCCGCCCUUUAAUUCUUGUUACGCAUUGGGCACAUUACCCGUCUGACG